GACGAACGCUGGCGGCGUGCUUAACACAUGCAAGUCGAGCGGAAAGGCCCUUUCGGGGGUACUCGAGCGGCGAACGGGUGAGUAACACGUGAGUAAUCUGCCCUUCACUUGGGGAUAACCUCCGGAAACGGUGGCUAAUACCCGAUACGACCAUUCCUCGCAUGAGGCGGUGGUGGAAAGUUUUUCGGUGGGGGAUGUGCUCGCGGCCUAUCAGCUUGUUGGUGGGGUAAUGGCCUACCAAGGCUUCGACGGGUAGCCGGCCUGAGAGGGUGACCGGCCACACUGGGACUGAGACACGGCCCAGACUCCUACGGGAGGCAGCAGUGGGGAAUAUUGGACAAUGGGCGGAAGCCUGAUCCAGCAACGCCGCGUGAGGGAUGACGGCCUUCGGGUUGUAAACCUCUUUCACCUGUGACGAAGCGAAAGUGACGGUAGCAGGAGAAGAAGCACCGGCCAACUACGUG
rnacentral:rRNA from 1 species